AACGAACGCUGGCGGCAGGCCUAACACAUGCAAGUCGAACGCUCGUAGCAAUACGGGAGUGGCGGACGGGAGAGAAACGCGUGGGUAUCUACCUAGCAGUACGGAAUAACCGCGGGAAACUGCGGCUAAUACCGUAUACGCCUACGGGGAAGGAUUAUCGCUGCUAGAUGAGCCCGCGUCCGAUUAGCUAGUUGGCGGGGGUAAGUGGCCCACCAAGGCUAUGAUCGGUAGCUGGCUGAGAGGACGAUCAGCCUCACUGGGACUGAGACACGG
rnacentral:rRNA from 1 species